rnacentral:pre_miRNA from 1 species
CAAAUACUCCCUCCGUCCGGAAAUACUUGUCAUCAAAAUGGAUAAAAGAAAAUGUAUCUAGAUGUAUUUUAGUUUUAGAUACAUCUCUUUUUAUCCAUUUUGAUGACAAGUAUUUUCGAACGGAGGGAGUAGAAA